rnacentral:rRNA from 1 species
UACGUAGGUGGCAAGCGUUAUCCGGAAUUAUUGGGCGUAAAGAGCGCGCAGGUGGUUGAUUAAGUCUGAUGUGAAAGCCCACGGCUUAACCGUGGAGGGUCAUUGGAAACUGGUCGACUUGAGUGCAGAAGAGGGAAGUGGAAUUCCAUGUGUAGCGGUGAAAUGCGUAGAGAUAUGGAGGAACACCAGUGGCGAAGGCGGCUUCCUGGUCUGUAACUGACACUGAGGAGCGAAAGCGUGGGGAGCAAACAGGAUUAGAUACCCGGGUA